rnacentral:lncRNA from 1 species
AACGUGGAGACAUGGAAUAUCGUAAUGGCCAACACGAACACGAGAAGAAGUUACUUAGGAUGUACCAACGAGAUCUUCUUACAUAUCUUCAUUAUUUCUUUAUUCAUCUUAAGAAUUCAUAUCACACAAACAAACACACGGUUUGAUCUCUCUUGCAAGCAGAUGCAGAAGAAAAAACAAACAUAAAGAGACAAAAAAGUUAGAAGCUUUUCA